CAUGAUAGGAAACCGGUUAACUCCGUGGAAGGUACAAUACUGCCGAUUUCAUUUCUGAAUGUUGCGUUGCACGGUCACAAUAUCUUAGAAAAAAAUCUUCGGCAAUGCUUAUCUGUAGCUGAAAAUCCUCUUCUGGUUAUGCAGUACAUCCUCUCCUCCUCUGAUGUUGAUGUGAAAUCUCCUUCUGCAAGGUAACUAGACAAUCAAUUCCUACAAAUUUGCAAGCUUUGUUUCUCUCAAGUCUUCCACUCAACCCCAGACAAUACUUCAUUGAAUCUGUGAAUUUUCUCCUGAACUGAUAGAUGCAGUUGCAGGUCAAAACAUUGUGAUAUGAGGUAAUGGAAAUAUUUAUGGAGGAAAUUUACUUUUAAACAUCGUAUAGGUUAUCUUUAUCUAAAUCAUGUGGUCCUUUUUCAGUUAUGAGUUGCAGUAGUACUACAUGAAGAUUAUAAAUUAGGUACGAUUGUUUUUGCUUUCUAAUUCAUGAGUACAAGCGUACAAAAUCAGUAUCUAUUUUCACCAUGUCAUGGCACGGCAACCGUGGGGCGAAUAUGAUUGAACCUUAUAAGCUGGCCUCAAGAACAUAAACACUGGUUCCAUUUUAUUUUCCCGGACCUCAUAAAUACUCAUUUUGCUUAUAACAGUUCCGAGGUAUGACACAAAGAUUAAGCAGAAAGCAAUGCUUGCUACAGAUUUCUGUAACUGUCUUACUUUAGAACGUCUAGCCCUUUGUAUAUAUUUCCUAGAGAUAAAAAAACCUAAUCGCUCUAGCUGGGCUUAAAUUUAGGACAUUCUUUUUGGUUGUUGAAUAAGGUUUCACAACAGUGGUAGAGAUAGUUUGAACUUGCAAUAGCUUUGUGUCAGAUGAAAAACAACAACACAAGAAGCGAGCAUGUCAAUCAUGGGUAUUGUUAUUGUUCAACUUUUCCAAUAGCGUUGCAGAAAACAUGGUUGUUGCCAAUUGAACGAAUGUUAUGUUUUCAAAGAGAAUUCAAGUUCGUCUUUUAUGUAUUUAUAUGUGCUGAUGCAAUAAAAUUUGAUUGAAUCUUCUUUGAAAUUUAUUUCAGUACUAAUGCAUAACUAAGUAAUGAUAUCUAGCUUGAGCAGCUCAACUACGACGCACUGGAUACACGCUAGGUAUACUGACAUCUUACGCAUAUCUUCGCUUUUAUUUCAGUUAUCACUUUUGGUGUAGAACUCUUUGUCUUCCAUUUUAUACAUGAUGUUAUUUUGCUAUAUCAGUUAUGUUGUCCUAACCGGAUAGUUAUCUUUUCUGUAAACGACACAGGUGGUUGCUGAUUGGUUGACAUUUUAAUUUGGACCUUACUUAAUUCGUACAAGUGUAGUGACACCAUUUUCCAUGUUGGUUUGUUUUGGCAAGCAUUUUCAUGUAUAAAAUGGAAUUGUCAGUUUGCCACUUUAUUACAUAUAGCUUUCAGCCUGAUUGAUCUUUAACAAAACACCAAACAAAAAGGAAAAGUAUGAUUACCGCAUAUCCCUGCUACUGCUUGUAUGGUAGUAUUUAGUAUAUAUCAUUAUUUGAUAUUGCAACUAAUUUAAUUCUUGUUAGGUUGUUUGCCCUAUGAAUGUGAUGCCCUCCACAAGAAACAGCCAGCUGCAUUAGGCAGACAUAAAUCUUCUUUGUUUCGGAACAUGGUGGCCUUUUGGUAGAGGCAUGUGAAGAUUCCAUUUACUCAUGAUGUAUACAAUCUACUCCAUCCGUUCCUAAAUAUAAGUUUUUUUUAAGAAAUAUUAAUGUAAACUACAUACGAAUGUAUAUAGACAUAGUUUAGAGCGUAGAUUCAUACAUUUUGCUCCAUAUGUAGUCCAUAUUGGAAUCUUUAAAAAGGGCUAAUAUUUAUAAACAAAAGGAGUAUUUCUUAUUGCCUAUUAUUUGUACUGAUUAGUUGUAUUUACUAUCUAUAUUGUUCUGUAUGUUGUUAUACCAAGCCAAUAUGUAUAUGUGACCUUGCCUUUACGGAGUAUAUAUAUGAGAUUUUCUUGGAUUACCGACUAAUGUAUGUUUAUGUGUAAAUUCAGUAUAUUUUGUGUGGUCAUUUAUUAUCAAAAUACCUAUCAUUUCAUUGUAGAAAUAGAUAGGCGCAACAACUAAUGCAUGGUUAUGUUUAGGUAAAUUCAAUAUAUUUCAUGUGGUCAUUUAUUUAUCAACUACCUUUCAUUUCAUUGUAGAAAUAGACGGG
rnacentral:lncRNA from 1 species